rnacentral:rRNA from 1 species
GCGUAACGCGUGGGAAUCUGCCCUUAGGUUCGGAAUAACUCCUCGAAAGGGGUGCUAAUACCGGAUGAUGUCUUCGGACCAAAGAUUUAUCGCCUAUGGAUGGGCCCGCGUUGGAUUAGCUAGUUGGUGAGGUAAAGGCUCACCAAGGCGACGAUCCAUAGCUGGUCUUAGAGGAUGAUCAGCCACACUGGGACUGAGACACGGCCCAGACUCUACGGGAGGCAGCAGUGGGGAAUAUUGGACAAUGGGCGCAAGCCUGAUCCHGCAAUGCCGCGUAAGUGAUGANGCCUUAGGGUUGUAA